rnacentral:lncRNA from 1 species
UUUAUUUUGCAAAUGAGGGGUACAGAGUGGAAGCCUGUAUUCAAAUUUAACUGAUAAAAGUAUUUUGCCUAUUUCACAAAAUUAUAUAGAAGGAUGCCAGAUAUAAACACAGUGUCUCACAGUUAAUGUAGUAAGUUUAUAAUUUUGUGUUGUGAAAUUACAUUGCAAAUCUAAUUCUUAUUUUUAUCAUUUCAGUUCUUUAAAACUUACAAUUUUCUUGGACUUUUUUGCAGUUGAGUCGCUCUUGACAGCUAUAAGUGAAGUCAGGAAGGAGAUUGAAGACUUGCAGUAUAGGGAACAAAAGCGCAUUGCAAUUCAGGGGAUAAUUACUGCUAUAAAGUAUAUCCCCCAUAGCAGUGCGACUGAAAGUGCCUCAGCAUCAGAAACACUUCGGAAUGCUAACAGACCCUCGACCUCUCAAGCAG